GACGAACGCUGGCGGCGUGCUUAAUACAUGCAAGUCGAACGGAAAGGCCCUGCUUUUGUGGGGUGCUCGAGUGGCGAACGGGUGAGUAACACGUGAGUAACCUGCCCUUGACUUUGGGAUAACUUCAGGAAACUGGGGCUAAUACCGGAUAGGAGCUCCUGCUGCAUGGGGGGGGUUGGAAAGUUUCGGCGGUUGGGGAUGGACUAGCGGCUUAUCAGCUGGUUGGUGGAGUAGUGGCUUACCAAGGCUUUGAGGGGUAGCCGGCCUGAGAGGGUGACCGGCCACCUUGGUACUGCGAUACGGCCCAGAAUCGUACGGGCGGCAGCAGUGGGGAAUAUUGCACAAUGGGCGGACGUCUGAUGCAGCAACGCCGCGUGCGGGAUGCCGUCCUUCGGGUUGUAAACCGCUUUCGCCUGUGACGAAGCGUGAGUGACGGUAAUGGGUAAAGAAGCACCGGCUAACUACGUG
rnacentral:rRNA from 1 species